ACAUCCCGCCCACAGUGACCAAUCAGCAUGCCUCACAGAGACAAGCCUCUUAAAUGUAGAAUGUACAGCAGGUGUGGCGCUGCAUGUAAGGGGCCCAGCUAAUUAAAGUGAGUGUCCCAGCUGAUUACAAUCAGCUGGGACCACAUCAGUGCAGCCUCUGUUACUGCACAGACUAGCGUCUCGGUCUCCUGGAAAUGGUCCGACCAGGAAGCAGGUUGUGAGCCGCCACGGUGCAUAACAACAUCAGAAACAUCUGGAGGGUGCCUUAAAUUACACAGAUAGUGUGUGAGGAGCCCUGGGAACCAACUUUAAGUCUGGGAAAGAAAGGCCCUGUAGGGAUCCUAAGAGCUGAAUUUUGGUGCAAAGAUUAUGCAGGAACGUUGCAGUAGACAUCCUGCAUUUGGGGCAUCUGCCAUACUCCUCUGGUACAAAGUGACUACGUUGGCUCUGAGAGAUAUAAGCUCUAUGAGUGGUUUUCACGUGAACCUCUUGGAGCACAGAGGAGUGUGCAGUCUUCAGUACCGAGUGAUAGUAUUUAAAUAAUGUGUCGUCUUAUAAUAAUAAAGGAAUGUCAUUUGCCCAUAGGCCCGUGAUUCGUUUCCAGGUGUGUUCCUUAUGAAGUUGUAA